AUUCGGGCAGGCUUUCUGCACAUGCUCAAUAGCACCUGCUGAGGAUCACUUUGGCUGCCCUUGGGAGAACACAAAGGACACUACAGCAGCUUGUGGAAGUUCACCAGUCAGGAAUUGAAUCGUGCCACAACAGCUACCCGAGCGACUGCUAGGACAAAGCCAGAUCCUUAACCUGCUGCACCACAAGGGAACUCCUGGGCUCUCUCAUCCAUGAAUGACCAUCUGAGAGGGUGUUCUCCAGCCGGCUCACAGAUCACUGCAGUGUCCACAGCCAGGAUCAAGGUCCAUAUGCAAAGCACUGACUGGCUUCUCCCAUGUCCCUUGGCAUGUUGCUUUGGAUUCCAUAGUUCCCAGAAAAACACGUUGACUGUGAGUUGUUGCCAAGUUGUUGUUGUGGAGGAAAUAUAAGUGUGUGACAUUUUAUUUAUUGGAUGUUAACCGGUCUAUUCCUCUGUGAGGUGGUAAUGGCAACACCAUAUCUGUAGGAUUGUCAUAAAGAUCCUUACAUAGGAUUCUUAAGGAAGCCUCGGAAAGAACACAGACCCCAGAUCAUAGCUUGGAGUUCUGAGUUAGUACGGGAGA